GAGUUUGAUCAUGGCUCAGGACGAACGCUGGCGGCGUGCUUAACACAUGCAAGUCGAACGAGGUCCACGGUGUAGCAAUACACCUGAAGACCUAGUGGCGAACGGAUAAAAAAAACGUGAGGAACUUGUCCCGGUCUCUGGGAUAACAGUUGGAAACGACUGCUAAUACCGGAUGACGUCGGAGCAUCGCAUGGUGCGCUGACGAAAGGGUUACUGGAUCGGGAGAGCCUCGCGGCCUAUCAGCUUGUUGGUGGGGUAACGGCCCACCAAGGCAUCGACGGGUAGCUGGUCUGAGAGGAUGAUCAGCCACACUGGGACUGAGACACGGCCCAGACUCCUACGGGAGGCAGCAGUGGGGAAUCUUGCGCAAUGGGCGAAAGCCUGACGCAGCAACGCCGCGUGCGGGAUGAAGGCUGUCGGGUUGUAAACCGCUUUCAGCAGGAACGAAAAUGAC
rnacentral:rRNA from 1 species